CAUAAACUUAACUCUGCAAUUGAGCCAGGGAUGGAAGGGAGCAAGGAAAACAUGGAACCCAAAGGGAACUGCAGGGAGUACAGGGAGAGCACAAGGUUCUAGGAUACUACCAGCAGAUGGGGUGGAGUGCACUUCCCUGAGCUACAGAAGGAAUGGUCUGGUGGUUAAGAUUAAACAGAGUCAAACUUACUGGAGCUGUCCACAGUCAGCACUGGUGAUCUUCUUGCUGGUCCUGUCAUUCCCGGACCCAAAGCACUCCAUGGCCUCCACAGUAUUCAUGCCUUCUUUCACCUAGCAAAGACCACAUGCUUGUCACCCAAUCACUCAGUCUUGAUGAAAAACUGGGAACCAUUUGUGUUGGGUCCAGCAUUUGCCAUGGACAAGAUGCCAGGAUCUGCAUGCUUUACAAUGAAGUUCUCAUCAUCAGAUUUCUCCCCACAGAUGGACUUGCCACCAGAGCCAUUAUGGCGUGUGAAGUCUCCACUCUGACACAUAAGCUCUGGAAUAAUUCUGUGAAAGCAGGAACCCUUAUAACCAGAAGUUUUUUCUCCAGUGCUCAGAGCAUGAAAGUUUUCUGCUGUCUUUGGAAACUUGUCUGCAAACAGCUCGAAGGAGACAUGGCCCAAAGGCUCACUGUUGACAUCGAUGUCGAACACAGUGGGGCUGACCACAGCUGAGGAUAGUAUGGGGAUCCGGGCAGCAUCUGCAAAGCCAGCUCUCUCUUUUUCUAAGCAUGGGCUUCCACUCCAAGACUCCUCUUUUUAUUCAGUGUUGAAUACUGAGUGUGGAUGCCAUGGAUGCAUUCAUCCUUUAGCCUGUAAGCAGCAGGACAGUGGGAGGCCACAUUCAGGCCUGUUUGAGUCUCAGCCAGAGGAGAAAUGGACAUCUCUUUGCUUUGGAUGUGACCCCAGGAACUGGAUAGCCAUCUUGUGGCCAUGAGCAUGAAACUAGCUCAAGGAGAGCAGAAGAUAAAAUGAACCUGGGUCCUUGAUGACACUACCUAACCACUGAGUGGCAGGCUACUUAUUUUUUUUUAAGCCAAUUGAUGUAGUUUUUUUUUUUAAACUAGCAACGUAAAAGACAGAGUUCACCAACCUUCUUUAUUCCCAAACCCCACUGGCCCCAUUUCUGUCCUCCACAGCAUCGGCCCCACUGAGCACUCCUUUCUUGAAACCUCCUCUCUAGGACCAACACUCACUUGGUCCUUUUUCUACCCCACUGGCCACUGCUUCUCAGUCUCCUGUCAUUGACCCUCCUCUUCUGCCCACUUUCUUCUCUACUUUCCUUCCCUUGAGUUCUCACCCAGCACCAUGACCUUUGUGUUGAUGACCCCCAAAUAGGUAUCUCCAACCCCAGCUUCUGUUCUGAGCUCCUGUGUCACAUACAUCUGCCUACUCACCCUCUCUGCCCUGCAUGUUGCCUAGGCAUUUCAACCUUAACUUCUCAAAGCCAAACUUGAUCUUUCCCCUCAGUCUUCCUUUUUCAAGCUUUAUUGUCUUGACCAAGGUCUCUUUUACCCUUUCAUUUACUCAAGGCUAAAACCUAGCGAGGUGUUAUUGCCAAUGCCUCCGCAUCCACCCACAUCCAGUCUUCCACACUUCCUUUCACCUCCCCAAAUCGCUACCCUGAGUCAGCAUUAGCUUAUGUCUGGAAGCUGUAACCACCUCCUAACUGGCCUCCCUUCACCCACUCCUGAGUGCCCUUCAAGCCAAGCGGCCUACAUGGCCUUUUAGAAAUCCAAACUUGACAUCUUUUCCCUGAUGAAAAUGGCUUCCCUUGACUCUCAAGAGAAAAGCCAAAUUCAGUAUAUAGGCGACCUGUCUUCUUCCGUGCUCGCCUCUCACCCUCACUCUGCCCCUUCCCAGGUCCACAUCUGGAACAAGAUGUUCUUUCUGCCUAGAACAUUUCCCCGCUCACUCUUGCCCUGUACAACUCCUAAUCGCCCUUGGUUUCUCAACCUAAAUGCCAUCUUCCCAAGUAGGUUCCACCCUCUGCCUACUUUAGGACUUCAUUAAUUUCUCCUAACACUCUCUACUUCCUCUCACAGUACUUCCCAUGAUGCGUUGAUUAAAGUCACUAAUAUACAAUAAUUAUAUCACUGUCUCCCCGCCUACCUGCCAUUAGACUGGUAACGCCUUGAGGUCAGGAACAGACCGAGGUCACCCACUCUACCCACCCUUAGCACUGCGCUUGCGUACAGUAAGCGCCUAAGGAAUAUGCUUAAUUAGCUAAUAAAUGACUACACGGACUCAUUCAAGCCCCAUAACAGCCGUGAGGUGGGUAUUUCAUCAGACAGGAGGAAGCCGAGUCGGGGCAGGCGAGUUAGUCGCUCGCGCCAGAUACAGGGCAAGGGGAGGAGCCGGGACCUGACCCAAGGCCGUCCCAAGUUCUGAGCCCGGACCUUUCCGCUCCUGAGCCCUGGCCGUGUGUUGAAACGCCAGGGAGGGGAUGGACUUUGAGCCACGAGAAGGUCUUCUCCGAGUCCAAGGACAGUCCACGCCGGGCAGUGCGAAGCGGGCUCACCCACAAGAUCGCAGCCCAGCCCGCCCCGCGCUCACGGAGUAAAGAUCACAAUCAGCUGCAUAUGCAUGAGGGGACCGGGCCGCGCUUUGGGGCCAUCCACACUGCGCCUGACAAAAAUUAUUCGGGAUUUGAGGACCUCGGCGCCCCCGCAUUCUUGUAAAAGUCCAUACAAAGCUCUCAAAGGUAGUCUGUGGGGGAUACUGAGGGGCGAUGGAUCGAGGGUAAGGCCCUUCUUCCGACCGUGUGAUCAGGCAUCUGCGGUAGACAGCCCGAUCCCAGGAUGGGUCCUCGGCCUGUUAACUAGAAGACGAAGGGGGCGUCUCCCCAGCUUCCUGCGGCGUCGGUGGCGAGCUGAGGUGGAGGCAGGCUGCGGCAGACGGCGACAGUGGCGGCGACGCCAUGGCAGGGCUUGCAGGAUCCCUGCUGCCUUGGUGAUCCCGGGCUGACAGCCAGAGAGCACAGCGGCUCAGCUCCUGGAGAGUGAGGGUUGAAGAAAGCGGAGGGCAGCCGCCUGCGCCCGCUGGCUCCCAUUAGGUCGGUUCCUGCAGCGGUGCCUGGCAGCCUUGGUGAAGGCCCUGCCCGGCAGAGAUCAUGUAUUGCCUCCAGUGGCUGCUGCCCGUCCUCCUCAUCCCCAAGCCCCUCAACCCCGCCCUGUGGUUCAGCCACUCCAUGUUCAUGGGCUUCUACCUGCUUAGCUUCCUCCUGGAACGGAAGCCUUGCACAAUUUGUGCCUUGGUUUUCCUGGCAGCCCUGUUUCUCAUCUGCUAUAGCUGCUGGGGAAACUGUUUCCUGUACCACUGCUCCGAUUCUCCGCUUCCAGAAUCGGCGCAUGAUCCUGGUGUUGUGGGCACCUAACGGCCUGCCCUGUUAGCUUUCCAAGGAAGCAGAAGACGGGAGGGGAGGCAUUGACAUAGGUCAUAAAGCAUUGGAGUUUCAAAUCCCGCUGCCUUGUGGGUGUCACAUUCCUGACGGCGCCUUUUUGGCCUGUGAUGUUUUAUCCUUAUAAUGUGAAUAAUGGCACUGACCGGUGCUUUUAUUGUAAAAUCCUAUAGUUGUGGGUGGUCUUGUGGUUGUGUGUAUUCUGUCCCCAUCUAGGUCCUGGCUGGCGGCAUGGCCACCCCCCUCGCCUCAUUAUUGUGAGGAGUCUGGGCCCAUCCUGGUCAACCGCCCCAGCAUGAUCUGGGCAGAUAAAUGCCAGUCUCAUUGUCACCUCUGUGAACCCUCCUUGUCAGGGUCUCCUUUCUUCCCAGAAUGUUAUUGACUCCUCAGUCCCUCUCCUGGUUUCCCUUUACUUCUCUUCAACCCCUUUCCUUUUUUGGGGAGUACCUGUCCAAGACAGGGCUCAUUUUUGCACUUAUCUCGAAUUUGAAGAGAUUGCUGACGCCCAAGAGCCUCGCUUUUUCAUCCUUCUUUCCUUGUUCAGCAGGCUAGACAAAUACAUGUCUUGACUGUUUGUUGUCCACAGAUCUUCAGUAUUUUCUCUGCUUCAUUUUUAAGAAAGGAAGCAACAGAUAGAUGUUGCUCUUUUGCCUGGGUGUCUGGGCUCAUGCUUUCCUGCCCAGCCUCACUUCCUUUGCCCUUCCUCCUGCCCUUCUCAGCUGUCCCAAGGAGGGGGGCCUCAUUGUGUCUUCCUGUGCAUGCUCUUCAGCAUUGAAGUAUGGUGUGUUCACGUAGUUCUAGCAGUCCCAGCUGAGUGAAUGGGCAAGUACCUGUGUAUUUCAUAACAGCCAUGAUCCCCUUGAUGUUUGGAUAUUUUUUGGUGUGCCGUGUGUGUGUGUGUGUGUGUGUGUGUGUGUACAAAUACAUGUGUAUAUUCCUUUUAAAGAAGCUUUAUCGAACGUAUUCUGAUUUUGAGGUUUAGCAAUAGCUAGCUAUAUAUAGUAGGUGCCGCUACAGUUUUUAUUUAGCAUGGGGAUUGCAGAGUGACCAGCACACUGGACUCCGAGGUGGUUCAGACAAGACAGAGGGGAGCAGUGGCCAUCAUCCUCCUGCCAGGAGCUUCUCCAUUCCUGCGCAUAUAGACUGUACAUUAUGAAGAAUACCCAGGAAGACUUUGUGACUGUCACUUGAUGCUUUUUCUGCGCUUCAGUAACAAGUGUUGGCAAACGAGACUUUCUCCUGGCCCCUGCCUACUGGAGAUCAGCAUGUCUGUCCUUUCCAUCUGAUCCAUCCAUCUCUCUCUUGCCUGAAGGGAAAGGGAGGUGGGCCAGGCAGAGAACAGAACUGGAGCCAGUCCAUCUACGGAAUGGGACUGUGAGGCCAUACUUGUGAAACGUUUGGACUGCUAUUCUAGAGCUUUUAUUUGGUGUGUUCAUUGCACAGCUGUUUGAAAUGUUUAAUAAAGCUUUAUAAACUUUACUUUGUGGUUUUAUAUGGCUGCAGUCCAUUUGGGUCGUGGUAUUGGAUUUCGGAGUUGGUAGGGGGCAGGGGGAAGCAUGGAGGGGCUGAUUCCUUGGCGCCAGAGCACCUUAGCCCGAAAAUUUGAUCUGUUCUCUGGAGAGCAGAUGGUGGGGGUAGGGGUGGGGAGCAGGGGACAGGACAGGCGGUGAACAGGAGGGAGUCUGAAAGUUUUCAGAGAUGAGACAUUUGCGUUUCUCAGCUCCCAUGGCUUCUCGCCUGAAAUUGUUUCCCUCCAUAGGAGAUUUGAGUAACCGAUCCCUUGACAAACAACUUAAGACAGCUGGAGCUCUAAUCAUCAAGGAUUUUUAUGGUGCUGCUUUUGAAGUAAAAAUAAAGUGAAACUCCUUAUGGCAUUUCAAGUGGAAAAAUAAAUAAGACUGGCUGUCCAACCAGCCAGACGUAAGGUGAAUGGCCAGAAGUACAAGAGUGGUAUGGUUCCAUGUCAUAGAUAUGCACGUGCCCCCAUGGCCGUGACCUUUGAGACAGUGUAGGCUAGUUUGUCAGGCCCUGUGAUGUGUGUUCACCUCUGAAUCUCCUUCUAGAAAGCACAGUGGGAGUACUGCCUGUCCAAGGCACAGGGCUGUCGUGAGGCUUGAGUCACAAUUGUGAAGGACUUGUGUAAAUGAAGCCAAGAUUAUUGCUUAUUUUGCUCUUCCUCAGAAAGCAGCUUUCUGUUUUAGGUCAAGCCUGCUCUAGAGUCACAAACAGGCCUCCCUCUGAAAGAUUUGUGGCCCUUUCCAGCAGGGAGCCUACAGCCCACCCCUCCCCAAAGUGACUGCCAAAUCAGCAUUCUGUUGCCCCACAGUGCUUCCUACCUUGCCAGGUACCUGUCCCCUCUUCCUGAACUGCCUUUUAGGAAAAUGAAAAAUAGAUACCUUUUCUGGUAAUUUCAUAGACAGUCACCUGUUUUACCUAGGCUUUAAACUGGCUGCUAUAAAAUUGAGUGUGAUUUUCUCCUGUUCAGAUAAGUCUCUCCAUUGUCACUUUAUCUCUUUUUUCCUUAUUGGUGUUGCUUAUUGAUGCUUUCCCUUGAUCAAAACUUGCCAAAUAUUUGUCUAUUUUAGAGGUGUUUUCAAAGAACCAAACUUGUAUUGAUCAUAUCUGCUGGGUAAUUUUCUUAUAUGAUUCUUAUGUGCUUUUAUCUCUGAAUUCUUCUUUUCUGGGUUUCUGGAUAGAUUUCAUAGUUUUGCAAAGUCUUAACAAGCUGAGGAGUCAUACCUGGAAAGGAUGGUUUGUUCAACAAACACUGAGACCCUGUACUAGGCUUGCCAGGGAUUUCAGGGGCAAGAUUCAGGCCUGACUCUCCAGGAGCUCAUGAUUGUAGCCUAAUGGGGAGACUUAACAAAAUAGACAAUUGCAAAUUCCAAAAACAAAACAAACAAACCAAAAAAGGCUUUUGUGUCCCUACUCUCCCAUGGCAGCACCUGGAUGAUAAAUGAAGCCAAGAUUAUUGCUUAUUUUGCUCUUUCUCAGAAAGCAGCUUUCUGUUUUAGGUCAAGCCUGCUUUAAGAGUCACAAACAGGCCUCCCUCUGAAAGAUUUGUGGCCCUUUCCAGCAGGGAGCCUGCAGCCCACCCCUACCCAAAGUGACUGCCAAAUCAGCAUUCUGUUGCCCCACAGUGCUUCCUACCUUGCCAAGUACCCGUCCCCUCUUCCUGAACUGCCUUUUAGGAAAAUGAAAAAUAGAUACCUUUUCUGGAAAAGAGUAGGGACAGCAGGCCUUAGAAAACAUGCUGUGCAAUUCCAUUGGUCACUGUGGCUCCUAGUAUGAAAUGGUUGCCCACGUGGUACCUAGUAACCACAAGACCCCACGAGGCCUAAGUCUGGGCUUCUUUAGGAACUGGUACUUGACCUGCUCUGGGCCUCAGUUUCCAUAUAGGUAAAAUGUGGUCUUUGGAGCACGGUUUUUCUAGUCCUAAUACCCUGGGAGUUCUUUCUCCCAAGAUCUAGGGUCUCCCUGGACCCAUUUGAGGAUGGUAGCUGGGCUCUGAGUAGGUGGCAGUGCACUUUCAGGAUAGCAUGUGCCUUAUGCUUUAGUCAGUGUACCAUGUGGACCUAGGUAUUUCCUCUGUCAGGAAGCUUUCCUGGAUUUCCUCUCCCAGGAGAUGUACUUGCCUGGAUCAUUUCAUUCAGCCUUCUGUUUUUUGUUGGUUUUUUUUUUUGAGACGGAGUUUCGCUCUUGUUACCCAGGCUGGAGUGCAAUGGCGCGAUCUCGGCUCACCGCAACCUCCACCUCCUGGGUUCAGGCAGUUCUCCUGCCUCAGCCUCCUGAGUAGCUGGGAUUACAGGCACGCACCACCAUGCCCAGCUAAUUUUUUGUAUUUUUAGUAGAGACGGGGUUUCACCAUGUUGACCGAGAUGGUCUUGAUCUCUUGACCUCGUGAUCCACCCACCUCGGCCUCCCAAAGUGCUGGGAUUACAGGCUUGAGCCACCGUGCCCGGCUCAGCCUUCUGUUGAAUGCUACUGCUAGUGUUAGGCAGACUUGCUCUUCUGUAGCGACUGAGUUCCUGGAGGGCAUGGCUCAUGAGGACUCCUCUUGUCUCCCAAGGAGGCCUGCAUUGUCAAUUAUUUGGCAGUUAUUUGUCAGAAUUCCAUGCAGGAAGAGGCCUUGGGACUACAGGGUAGACAGUUCCUGCCAUCAGGGAGCCCUCCAGGCUAAUGGGAAAGGGCACGGCAUUGAGCAGAUAAUGCCAGCGAUACACAACUAUGGACUGUGUCAGCUCCUAGAAGAGGGGGUCUAAGAGGGGACCUAAUGUAGGCCUGGAAGGAUUGACCUUCAGGUGGAGCCCUGAAGAACAAGUAUAAAGGUUUGAGCAGUGAAGUAAUAAAUUAUAUAUAUAUGUAUGUGUGUGUAUAUAUAUAUAUAUUUUAACCAUCUAAUCAAGCAUCUCUGCUUACAGAUAAAGAGACUGGGGUGAAAGUAAAAUGAAGGACCACCACUAUCUGGCUGCCCUAGAAUCAGAAGCCAAAAAGGCUUCUGGGGAUAAAGAAGUCAGUCUACCUAAAGCCAGAGAACUGUUGGGAGAUACAAAGGGAAUCUAAGGCUGAAAUGCUGGUGGCAGGCCCCAAAACUCAGUCCUGAGAACGCUUCAUUUUCAAUUGACUGGGAACCAUCACAAGGUUCUAAUGGGAGUUGGGGAGUAACCCACUCAGAACAGGCUUUAAGAUGGGAUUCCGUCAGGAAGGAACAGGACAGCAUUUGAGUGGUGAAAGGAGCAGGGCCACAGACAUAGCUACUGCCUUCUCUAGAUCACUGGGAUUGGGGAGAAGUAGACCUAAGGAGUGAGUGUGGACGAGGAAGGGAUGGUAGGUGAAGGGGCAGGCUGGGGAGGAGGAAGCAGUGAGAGAUGUUAGAAGGAAAGCCAAUUCCUGUCGAAUAGCUGCAGGAAAGGAGGCCAGAGAUUUCACCUGUGUCCAUUCAGUGGGCAGAGCCAAACCCUGUCUCCUGGCAGCCAAUGCACAGCUCACUUACCAACCCACCAAAAUGUGUGAAAGGGCCACCUUUCUGAAAAGAGGAAUGACUGAAGAAGUGCUCUCCUUGAUGGAAGAUGCUCCUGCUUGGGGGGCUUGGCCAGUGUCAGCCCAGCAACCCUCCCUCCCCAGUAUCUUCCUAAAAGUUCCAGGAAGAACAGAGUUUGAUCUGCCAGGCUUCAGUGAGAGAAAGAAGUAUGUUGAGAAAAACUUCGAUUGUAGAGCAGGCUUGAGGUAAGGAAGAGAACCUGGCUAAGCAGCAACUGAAGGUCUCAGACAGAAGCCCUGGGUCUCCCUUUGGGAUAUGGAAAAGGCCUCAGAGCCUGGGCCCAGAUAGACUUGAAGGACUGAAGAAGCUUGGUGCAAGGCUUCAGGGAGCCCCAGGCCUUACGCCCUGCCUUUGUGACUGCACCUCACCCAUCAAAUUGAGACCUACCACCACCACAGCAUCUGCCUCAAGGCACAGUCUCCACAAAUGUUAUUUCCUCUGUUUUGUGGCCCCCUGCCACUGGCCUUUACUAAGCUCCAGCCCGUAGGGAUAUGAUCUGAUCCUCCAGCUCUCCCACUCAUUCAUUCACAUGAGGAACAUUUGCCAGGCUCUUUUCCAAGCCCUGAGAAGCUGGUGCAGAAUAAGACCAUGCCAUCCUUGAGGAACUCAGAUCAGCAGGAGGGAGGGCACUGAGUCAUUCUUGUGGGAAGAUAAUACCAUGUCAUUAAGGCAUUAGUAGAGUUAGGGAGAGAUUAUUUGGGAGACCAUAUCUCAGUACAUCUAUGUGAGUUCAUUAAUCAUUUUUUUACUUUCUCUGAAGAGGCAGUAUCCUAAAAAGGAAAACACUAAGGUGUAGCUUUUUUUUCUAGGAGACCAAAAUCCUCAGUUUGAGUCCCUACUUAGCCACCAGCUUGCCCAGCAAUCCUCCAUGGAUUUCCCUCUCUUGGAGAAUAAUCCCUGUGUGUCUAGCCUCCUCCCAGUGAGGAAUCAGAGCAGGCAUAUGUUUGAGAAUACUUUGUCAAAUAUCCCAAAGGGUCAGAUAUGACCCUUCUCCAAAGACUAAUCCUCUGGGUGGUUCUGGCUUCUCACUCCUUUUCCUGGACAGCUUGUGGAGAGCCUGUACUUUGACAGCUCAACACCUCUUUCAAAGCCAAACCCUCUGCCAGCCUCAUGCCCCACACUGAUAGUGGUGAUCUCCAAGGAGGGGGCAGGGAACCAUGUGGCCUUGUUCUUACUCUUCUCUAGGCCUGUUUCCCCAUUUAUAAGUCAAGGAGGGGGCUGGACCAAGAAGUCUUUAACAUUUCCAAAGCUGUCUUCUGUGAAACAUCAGUGACAUUUAUCCUUGUUAUUUUAGUCUUAGAGAUAGUGAUUGAAAGGGUAUUAAGACAAGUGUUUAAUCAAAAGAUCUUUUGCAUUAAAAAAAUAAACUUUAAAUCUCUUGGGUGCAGAACUGUCAAGGAUCUCAGUUUAGAGCCAAAUAAGACGUGGAAGGGUCUAUGAGGCAGGAAAGAUAGACAAAGCCCUUCAGUAAUUCCAUAUUGUUAUGGUCCCAGUCCCUUGGCUUGGACAUCAAGGCCCUGCACAACCUUUGAAGAUAAGGGCUUAGUCUUUAUUCCUUUACCAAGCACGAAACCUGCCCGACCAGGCCUGCCAUGGUACAUGCUGGUUGGCUGACCUGGUGGCUAGAUGGAUAGGUGGCUCAGUUGCUAAGAGUCCCUAAGUAAUUGGGUGACCUAGUCUUUCCUAGAAGGAAAGGAAUUCAGUUUGCCUCCCAAAUCUCUUGGAAACUCUGAAGUAACAGAGAUUAUUUUCCAGCCUCCAGACUAGUAUUUGGACAAAGUUAUGUGAGAACCUUAUAAAGGGUUACAUGGCCUGGCAUCCUCACUGUGGCAACAGCCCACAUGUGGUUUAGGAGUAGCCCCGCCAGGUGGUAGAUACCCUGUAAGAUCUGGAUGUAGGUGGGCUCCUGAGUCACUGGUAAGCUGAGGGGAAUUCCCUCUGCUUCCUUCUUUCUACUCUUCUCACACCCUAACCCUGGAUAUGGCGCUAUCUACCCUGGAUAUGUCACUCCCCAGCUUUCCCACUUUUAUGAGUGCCUCCCCAUAGGCUGGCAGACAGGAGUGUAGAGUGUGAACCACUGCUUCACAGGGAGUGGACUGAAGCUCUGCUGAGAGGUUUCUCCAACUUGCCCAAGAGUUCACAGUUAGGCCAGGUUGGCCUUUGAUUCCUGAACUCUGACCACAUACUUAGGUGGUCCUCUGCGUUGCUCGUUUUCCAUUUCCGUCUUCUCCUCCCCUUCUAGAUCAUGAGUGUCUUCUUUAGAGUCACAGUCUGAGAACUCCCUGCAGCCCUGCCUCACUGCCACACACACCCAUCUGAGCAUGUCACUGAGAUUUAAGUCCUUUGGUCCUAUUCCCUCAGAUCACUCUGAGGAAAAACCUGCCUCAGUCCAACCCCCAGAUCCCAGCUGCAAUACUGUGGGGGUUAGACUACUAUUCAAGAUGGGCUGGGCCAUUUGGGGGCUGCUCUUUGGUGGUUGGCUUUUGGUUUUGUUUGUUUUUACUUACUGGCCAGAUAGGAUCCAGUUCUUAUUUCCACCCUCAGAGCCAUUUUUAAGAAUGCCAUAUGGUUCCAUUUUGUACUGACAGGAACUGGGGACCACAGGCGCAUAGCACACACCACAGCUACUGUGACUAAUCGCUCUGGCAGCUGUGCCCUCCUAACAGUCUGGGCGUGCAGUAUGAGUGAUGUUCAGAACCAGAAAGAUUGGAUUGGGCCUCCUGAUCCCUGGUCGUGACAACACCACUGCACCUCUAGUCCUGUCUCUCCAGUCCCUUGAUCUUUCCCAUAUCCAUCUCCUUCUUUUAAUUCUUUUAAUCCAUCUCUUGCUGAACAGUCAUCUCUCUGAAUGUUGCUGAACAGAUGUCUCUCUGCUUCCAAUCUUCUCUCUUUCAACCCAUCAACCAAUUGGCCACCGUUGGCCAUCUUUACCAGCUUAGGUCAUCUUCUGUGGCUCUUAGCUUAACUUUGUCCUUCCCUAUUGCCUAGAGGAUGGCAUUCUCUCUGUUAAUGGAGCAGAGCAUUUCAGUCUGGUUCCCACCUUCCCCUAGGUGUUCCUGCUCUGCUUCUGCAGGUGCCCAGCCAGAUGAGCCCACCUGUCCUCCUGGAAGAGAUGGCCUGUGUCAUAUGAGAGUCCAGGAGAUUGCCCAGGGAGAAGGUGUGGAGGGAGGGGUUUUGAGAAGGAAUGUGAAGUCUCUUGUGGUAAGCAGCACCAGCAAGAUGACCAAGAAGAGGCAAUUGGGCUAGUCAGGAGGUCUUGUCAUCCAUAUUGGGGUCAGCAGAGCAAUGGAGACAGACAUCACAUCACCAUGGGAAGAGAAGAGAAUGAGAGGAAGAAGUGGAGAUGAGAAGAACGGAUCACCUCUUCCAACUAUGAAAGGAAAGAGACAGAUAAGUUGAAGUGACCUGUUUGGAUUGUUCUUUUUUGAUUAGCUAAUAUUUGGCCUGUGCUUUUCUGGAUAAGGCCCUGAUGAGCAUUUUGUCAACAAUACCUCUCUGAAACCUUCAGAGAACAUCCUAGAGUUGACAUGGUUUUGCCCACUAUACAGAAGAGCUUCAAAAGAUGAAGCCACUUGUCCAAGAUGGGGGGCAGAGCUGGGAUUUGUGCCCCAUUUGGUCAUCUUCCAGAGCCUCACUUUCACCACUGUCCCUGUCUUCCCUGCGGUUGUGAGGGAAGGUAGAAUGAGGAGAUGGAGGGCUGCCUGCAGUUAGGGAGCUGGGGCAAAGGCACCAGGGAGGCUCCCGGUGCUCAGAUAGGACUGGACGUCUGGGACACACCACUUUUCAGAAGGAGAAGGGACUAGGGAAGAAAAAGACUAUUUUUAAAAGCAAAAUAGGAGAUGUGAGCCCAUUAAAAAUGAGGAAGAAAGGAAUAAAAUGUUGAACAAGUAUCUGAGUGAGGAUAAUCUGAAAAGUAAGGAAUAAAAUGUUGAAAAAAUAUCUGAGUAGAGGAUAAUCUGAAAAGUAAUGAAAUGACAUCAAGAAGACAAAGGCCAACAGCAAACUGGGAUAAAUGAUGGCCUGUGUCCAAAGCGGCCUGGAGUGGACGGCACUCUAUGGACAGGUGGGGGCUUAGCCUUGGAUAGCAAGCAUGCAACGACCCACCCACCCAAACCUGGGAGGCUUAGCACUCAGCAGGUGACCUCAUCUGUCCUCAAGCCAUCACUGGGAGAUGCUCAAUAAAUAUUUGCUGGGGUGAAAUAAACAACUGAAAUGGGGAAUUAAAUCAAAGAGGAAAAAUAACCGUUGUUAAGCUAUUGAUGAUAGAAGUGGCUGGGUGCUGUGGCUCACACUUAUAAUUCCAGCACUUUGGGAGGCCAAGCGGGUGGAUCACCUGAGGCUAGGAGUUCAAGAGUAGCCUGUACAACAUGGCAAACCCCUCUCUUUACUAAAAAUACAAAAAAUUAUCUGGGCAUGGUGGCGUGCACCUGUAAUCCCACUUAUUCGGGUGAUAGGCAUGAGAAUCACUUAAACUCGGGAGGCAGAGCUACAGUGAGCCGAGAUCAUGCCACUGCACUCCAGCCUGGGCAACAGAGUAAGACCCUGUCUCAACAAAAAAAGAAAAAGAUGAUAGACGAAGGCCAGGAUUCAUCCUUGGCCAGUUAAGUGGGGCUGCCUAGAGUAUUGAGAAUUGAUACCUACAUGGCAGUCAGGACUAAGAUAACCAACACCUCCUAUGGGCACAGUUUACAAGGGUGUUUUUUUUUUUAAUUAAUUAAUUUUAUUUAUUUAUUUUUGGCAGGAGGGGUCUCACAUACUCAUGGUAUUCCCCAUUUAGGGUCUUGAGGUUUGAGGACCCUGUAUAGACUUACCCUCAGUCUGUUGGGUGAGUUUGCUUCUAUCACUUGGAUUCUUGAUUAUCCCUAUUUUUUAGAGGCGAGAACAAACUUCUGGUCUUCUAGAAAGAAUUGGCAAAUAGGCCUGUCCUCCUCUGACUUCACUAUCUUGAACAAUAUACUUAAACAAUAUGCCACUUUCCUGAACAAUAUACAAGUUCACCAUGUAAUUAUUUUAGAACCCAGGUUCAAAUAUUUUUAUGGUCAAGAUUUGAUGAGCAAAGUCCUCACACUGAGUUCUCCCAGCAAGGAUGCUUUCCACUCACUUGCUGGGUGGCUGUGAAUCACCUCCCCUCACUGGGCCUUGGUUUCCCCAUCUGUGAAAUGAGGUAGUUGCAUUAGAUAAUUCCACAGUUCCCUUCCAGCUCUAGCAUCACCCUCAGAUACCCUGGUGCCUAGAGCAGUAAUUGAACAAGGAGCACGGUGACCCCGCGUUCUGGGUCAAGUCCUCAUCUUGGAGCAUGGAGGAAUCGUGAUGAUGGCCGCAGCCCCUGGAAGAUUAAUUUGGCAGGAGCUGGCUGAGAUGAUCUUUUUCUGCUGAUGGUGAAACGUGCUGACAGGGUCUAUACAGGUAGGUUGGUGCAGGUGAGGAAUGGGGUGGGCACUUUGUCUCUUGUGACCCCUGAGUAAUGUUUCCUUGCAGAACUGGAAGCCUCCAGGACAGAUUGUUGCCAGCUAGAUUUAGCCAUUCACAUUGGCAAGGCAGGUGACCCAUCUUUCCACACACUCUUCUGUCAGGGCUUCCAGAAAGGCUUUCUGCUCCAUCCCUUAAACACCUCCAUGUAUUUCACUGUCACUGUGCCUGGAAUCAUACCUUCCUGUAGCGUUCCAGUUCCCUGCUCUGUUGGUAUGUGCUCUGAGAAGGCUGUGACCAUAAGUGCCACAAUCAGCCAGGCAUAGCUAAGCUCAGAGCCAGAGCCAGGAAUGGAAGGGUUACCCAAAAUUGAGGCAUGGACUGUUGAUUCAAUACAAAGAGAAAGAGUCUGUUCCAACUUCAGAGCACACACCCAAAUUCAGAAAUUAUUUUCAAAGAUCAAAAGAAAAACUGAACCCUUUAAAAACCAGUGGGGAAAAGAAUAUUUAACAAGUGACUGAAUGGGAGAGCCCAUUUAAGCUAAAAAGCAACAAAAUGAUAUCAAGAAGGCAAAGGCCAACCAAUUUGACUACACUAAAACAAAAUAUUUUCAAAGUCGAGUAAUAUCACAAACAACCAAAAAGCAGAGGGUUGCAGAUUCUUGAAGUAUAAAAGAACACACCCAAAACUUUAAUAGUAAAAGCAAAACAGGUAAGUGUGUGUAAGUCACCUGAAUUGAGUUUAUAGGAAAAGAAAUGGAAUUGACUGGAAAACUUGUUGAAAAAAUGUUCAGCUUCACUAAUAACCAAAGAUCAAUAAUGAAAACGAUAAGAAAAUACAAAUUUUCCCUAACAAAUUAGGGGAAAAAAAUUAAGAAUACCCAAUGUUGAUGAGGAUACAGUGGAAUAGGCACUGUUACACACUACUGGGUGAAUGUGAAUUGUGUACACUUCUUGGAAAGAAGAGAGAAGUUUUAAGAGACGGUAAGUAGCCUGUAACUUGAUUCAACAUUUAUUGAGUGUCUACUAGGUGUCAGGCAUGAUGCUAGGUUUUAAAAUAUUGGCCAGGCACAGUGGCUCACGGUUGUAGUCCCAGAAGUUUAGGAGGCCAAGGCAAGAGGGUUGCUUGAGCUCAGAAGUUCAAGACCAGCCUGGGCAACAUAGCCAGACCCUGUAUCUAUAAAAAUACACGUGUGCACACACACAAAGAUAAAUAUCCCUUUCCUCAGGAGGACAGAGAGGUAAGAAAGACACACAGACAAACAGAUACAUAGGAAGAAGGCCAGAGCUAUGCCUGGGACAUGGUAGCAUGGGGCAGCUAGGGUUGGUGGUACAGGUGUGAAAUUUUAUGGGAAUAUCCAAGGAGGUUCCUAGAAGAGGUGACUGGAUGGGUAGGAGUUAUUCAAGUAGAAAGCAGAGGCAGAGGUGAGCGGCAUCAUGGAUGAACUCGUAGACAGCUGGGAGUUGUUGAAGCAUGAAAUGAGAGGUUGGGGUGGAGAAAGCAGAACCAGGUCACAUAGUGCUAAUACGUACAUCUAAUUCAAGACUUGGGUCUUCAGUUAAACAACAAAGAGCCCCUGUAGCAUUCACUGCAAGCAGGUCCAUGGUAGGAUUUCUUUUUUAGGGUGAUUAGUUGCUUGGAGAAAUUUGGAGGUAUGAGAGCCAGAGAGGAGGUGAUUCCCUUGGUCCAGGUGGGGUCCAGGAAGGAUAAGGGUAGGGGCAAGAGGGUGGAAGUGGUCAGAUCCAGGAGGUGAAACUGGGAGAAUCUGCUAACUGGUAGGUUGAUGGUGUUAAUGAAAGAGAGUAAAGGAUACCUUUCCUCUUUCGUCUUGAGUACUGGGUGAAAGGAAGAACACCCAGGAGAAAGAGCAGGUUUGGGGGCUGAGAGAAAAUUAUUAAGCUCAUUUUUGGACAAGCUGAAUCAGAGUUGGGCAUCCAGGAGGAGGUGGCCUGAAAGGAGCUAGAUAGAGGGUCUGCAUCCCAGCAGGAGAUUUAGACAAGAAAUUUGGGUUGAGACUAUGGUGCUUGUAGCCAUGGGCUUCAGUGAACUGGCUCUAGGAGAACAUGCCAGCUGAGAAAAGACAGGGUGUCCAGGAACAAGAGUUUGCCCCCAUUUGAGAGGCAGACAGAGAGAGGCGAGCCCACAAAGGUGAAAAAGAAGUCUGAGAGACAUAGAGCACCUGCAGCCUGUGUUGGCAUGGAAACCUGGGGAUGCGGAGUGUUUCCAAAAGAGAAUUGGCAGCAGACACAAGAGAAAGUCCAGCUAGAUGGGGACUGAGAGCCCACUGGAUGUAGAGACCCUCAUCAAGAGCAGUUUCCUGUGACAGAUUGGGCAGAGGAAAAUGAAAAGGCAAAGAAAGCAGGCAGCAUGGCCACCUCUCGGGGAGAAGCAGCUAUAAUAACAGUUUGGGCCACGGGACAAUUUCUGAGCUGGAUCUGGACUGAGAUGACAUAAGGAUAGAUGUGAUGGGGCAGUCCAAAAGGCUGUCACCUAGAGUCCUCCUGCCUGUCUGAGUCAGAGGCAGGAGCAAAGGACAAGGGUGGGCAAGGAAGGAAAAUGUGCAUUAGUGACCUUGACCAUAGUUGGCAUCAAGUAGGAAAGUGUAUGUGCCUGUUAGGAGCUUACCAAAGAAGUUUGCACAUCUCAACAGGAAUAGAUGAACCAGAGAUGCACUCAAAGAAGGACAGGGCCAGAAAGGAGUUCGUGACAUUUUAGGAAUGAGUACAGAAGAGUCCUGCUGAGGACACUGAGAAGUAGGCGCCAGAGGAGAAGACCAAAAACAUUGGGUUUCUAGAAGCCCAGGGAGGAGAGUUCCCAGAAAGACAGUGGCCACUGGUGGGUCAUAUUCACAAAGGUUAGUGGAGGCUCAGGCAUCUCCUAGAUUGGCCUUUGGGGACUUUUGUUACAGCGACUUCUGGUCAAGGGGCAGAAGUCCCUCUUGGUGUGUGGGGAAUGAACUGGGUCUGGCUGAGAAAGGAGGGAGAGGGAGCUGGAGCAGGCAGAGGGUCCAGAAAGGAGCUGAUUCUUCCAGGAGACCUGGGAAGGAGGAAGCUGUGCAAGCCCAGUUGGUAGAGCAGGGCCGGGCAGUGAGAGGGGCCCAGGAGCGCUGGGAUUAAGUGUAGAGGUGAAGGGAUUAGCUGUGUUGGUGGAAAGGGACAAAAGUAAAUUAUGUACAUUUUAGCAAGUAACCUAAUCUUCAGGUUCUUUAGGAACCUUUUCUCUGCCCUCUGGGUACUGAUUCCAGCUCUAAUUAGCAGUGGUUUCAUCUGCCUCGUGGCUGGGGCCAUGUCUUUCUCAUUUUUUCAUACCUUUCAGCACCUAGCAACAGGCAGCUAGCUAGGUAGGGGGAGAGUAAUUAUUUUCUGCUUGAAAUCCAUUGUCUAAAAUGGGAAUUCAGAAAUUUUUCUUUGUAUCAAAAAGACUUCGUGACAAUAUCCAGGAUGCAAUGAAAUAGGUAAGGCUUGGGUCACAGGCUUGAAUGUGACAUUCAGGGUCGCCGUAGCAGUUCAAUUUUCUUUUUUUGCUCUGCCCCUUCCCCCCCAGCCCCCCGGCCCCCACAAUCAUAGCAGUUCUAUUUGGUGGUAUUGCCUAGACAUCAAAGAAUUCUAUUUCUUCCCUAUCUGGACAGAAGUCAAAGUCCAGAGAGAGGCUUGGGCCUUGUACCACUCCCUGAUAGGACCAGAGUGGUAAGAGACAGGACCUAGAGGAGGGACCUCCAUGGCUUCCAUGUGAGAGAACAGUUCAUGUCCCACCACAGCCACAUAAGAUGACAAAUUUCCUAAAAUAUAAUAAGGGGCUUCAGGGAAGAAUAAGCAUGCUUAAAAGCCAAAACUCCCAGAUAUCCGUUAGAAGAAGUAGCCAGCUCGGAAGCUGGAGACUUCCAGGUGAGAGAGGGAAAGGCCUGAACUAGACCAGUGGGGAGGAGAUAGAUCAGAACUUGUGGUAGAUAAAAACCAGAAAUAAUUAGUGAGUAAUUAUCUGUGAGAGUGAGGAGAAGGUCAAGCCAAAGGUGAUUCCCAUGUGUUUUGGUUUGGUUUGUUUGUUGGGUUUUUGUUGGUUUGUUUGUAGAAACAGGGUCUCACCAUGUUGUCCAGGCUGGUCUCCAUCUGCAGGGCUCAAGCAGUCCUCCCACUUUGGCCUCCCAAAGUGCUGAGAUUACAGGCAUGAGCCACUGUGCCCAGCCCCGUGUGUCUUGACUGGAGUCCUCGGUGGAUGGUAGGGGGACUCUGGAGUGGGCAACACAGCAAGGUGAGCCAGUUUGAGGGACAAGAUAGUGGACUCAGACACAGCCAAGUGGGGCCCAGCAGACACUUGGAUCCUGGUGUCUAGGACUCAGGAAGAUAUUCAGCUGGAAGCACUAGCCCAGGGAUGUCCCCACUCAGAGCAAUGGGGACCCUGGGCAUAAGUGAGAUCACCAGGGAGAGUGUAGAGAGAAAAUGGGAGAGGGCCCAGGGCAGAAUCAUGAGUCACAGAGACAUUUAAGGAACCAAUCAAGGUGUGGGCAGGCGAAAAAGAGAAAGAGAAGGAAGGGCCUGAGAGAUGCGACAAACAACCAGGAGAGUGGGUUGCCAUGACAACCAAGGUAGGGAAGCGUUUCAAGGAGAAAGUAAUCAACACUGUCAAAUGCAGCAGAGAAUUCCAAUAAGAUAUAGAGAAUUUUUCCUUUGGAUUCCAUGAUUAGUAAGUUUGGAUGGCCUUCAUAAGAGCAUGUUGAGGGAAUGAUGGCCUAAGCUGGAGUAAUGAUGAGAUGUGAGAGGACAUGGAUCUGUCACUAAGAGUCCUCUAAGAAGUCCAGAAGUAAGAUUUGGAGACAUGAAGGAUAGGGGCUGGGAGGCUGAGGCUAGGAAAGAUGAACAGGUGUAUGGGUUCAGCUCCCAAAGUGUUAAGCAUCCAUUGUUUAAUGCUAAAGUUGAUACAUUCCACAUCAUUCUCUUUUAACAAAAUUGUGUGCCCAGCCCAGCAGUGUGCCUAGCACCAUGGAUACUUGGGUGAAUGAAUUGAAAUAGUCAGAAUCCCUGCUCUCCUGGUUCGUGCAUGGUAGUAGGGGAGAAAGACAUAAUCAGAUAAUCACCUACAUGAAUGUACAAUUUCCAGCAUUGAUAGGCACUCUGAAGGAAAGAUACUGAGUACUGGAGGGUGUGCCACAAGGGGACUUACUCUCAUCUGACUCUGGGGGGCUUCCCUGAAGAGGUGAUCCUCCUAACCAAGAUAGGAAGAAGGGAACAAAGUUAACUGGACAAAGCAAAUUGGAAAGCAUUCUGAGCAAAGAGCCGGCCUAGGGAGGAAGGAGAAGUGAGACCAGACAGGCAAGCAGUUCUGGCUAUGCAGAGCUUUGGAGACCAGGGCUGAGCUCCUGCCAGCCUCCUGAGAGCGAGGGAAGCAGGGGAUGUGACCUGCCCUGGUGUGUGGCUGUAAUCUGCCUGACACUCUGGCUGUUCUGUGGAGAAAUUAUUAAGGCAGCAUGGGUAGACUUAGGCAAGUUUGGAAGCUUUGUGGUGGUGGACAGGAUUUGGACACAAUCUGCAUAUUCUGGUUAGUCUUGGUGUUGAAUGGAAUGAAGAGGGGCUGGAAGAGGACAGUGUUCUGGAUGACUCCUGAGCUUCUGGCUUGCCUUACUGGUGAGAUGGCAGUGCCAUUUUGAGAGCUGGGAGCCCUGGAAAGGGGCCAGGUCUGUAAGGUAGUCCCAAGUCUGGUGGUAAUAGCUGAGACAUCCCAAUGGAGAUAGGGAAGAAAUGGCUGAAGGCACAGCUCCUGAGCACAAGGUGAGAAAUUAUGGAGAGCAGUCCAGAGCUCAGAGGGGCUCCCAAAUGAAAAUAUGGAUUCAGAGGUUGACAGGCUUCUGGGGCAUUUUGAGGCCAGAGAAUGGCUGAGGACAAUGAAAUCAAGCCCAAGGAGCACCAACAUUCAGAGAUUAGAAAAGAGAAGAGGAAUCAUCUGAGAGCACUGAAAAGAAAGAGCCAGGAGGUGUAUCAGCAGAAAGACGAGGUGGUCAGCAGUGGGUGUGUACAGAGAGGUCAGGAGGACCAGGUGAUCCCUGAGCUCCUCGAGUGUACACCUGCACCAGUGGUGCCUCUGGAACUGGGCAGCAUGGUGGCCCUGCUGAUUGGCAACCCAAGUGACCUCUUAGAAUCUGCCAGAGCAGUUUGGGUGGAAGUCCAUUAAGGAAAGGAGGAGGAAGAUCCAGGGCAUUUACAUCUUAAUCUUAAAGGAGGGAGCAAUGCUGGCAGAUGAACAUUCUGAGGGUAAGCAGCCUCAGUAGCUGAGUGAUUAGGGAUGAAGACAAUUCGUGAAAUGAGCUCCCAAAGGGGCUGGGAUCAACUGUGGAGGUGGAUAAAUUAGUUUGGGGGGAUAAUGUAUAUUUGACUGAAUGGGGCAAAAUUAUGUACCUUUUAGAGAGUAACUUGAUCUCCAUGUUCUUUUGGGAGCUUUUAUCUGAACUGUGUACCAACUGUAGUGCUAAUUAACACCAGUCUUGUCUUGUCUUGUGGCUGGGAUUGUGUCUUACUAGUUUGUGUGCUUCUUAGCACCUAGCAACAGGUAGUAAGCUCUUUGGGUGCCGAAUCAGUAUUUUCUGCCUUUGAAUCAAAUGUCAGAAGUCAACAUUCAAACUUAUUUUGACCAAAAAGAAUCUAUGACAAUUAUCCAGAAGUUACAGUGCCACAAAGAAAGCUGGACAUUAAGUCUUGCGUAGCAGGGGUUAUGGGGGGGGGGUGGGUCAAGAAAAAGUAGAGGUAUCUGCUCCCCUCAUCCUUGUAAGCUCGAUGCCAUUUAUCUAUGCUAACAUUCAUCAUCUCAUACGACCUUCACAUUUCCCCACAAGAAAUGGAGCGUUACCUCGUCACCUACUCAUAAAGGUGGAACUGGAAGCCAGAGGAGGAGAUGCCUUAUUGACACAGAGCACAAGCAGCAGGAGCUGGCUUCAGACCUCAGUCCAUCCGGUAUGGCAGUCCCUCUUCCCAGGACCAGGUGGAGCUGGAGAGAAAGAGGAAGAGGAGUUUGUGAGGUCCAGAUGGAGAUGCUCGGCAGGCCCUUGCCAAAGGUGGGAGAUGUGGUGGUGUACACACUGGAGGUGCUGCUCCUGAGCUCAGGGCGCCCUACGGGACUCUCUUCAUGUUGCACAUCGCCUGCCACAGCGGGCUCCACUGCCCCUUUCAGCUGGCUGCUGGCAACCAGAACUGAUGGUGCUAUGAUUUAUUUAGUUGCUGCUUAUAAAUCGGAUAGUUCUAACUAUCUCCGAUACUUAGAAAUGGAAUCGAUGGGUCAUAAAGUGUACACAUCUUAAAUUCUAACAAACACUGCCAAAAUGUUCUUCAAAGUGCCUUUCUAAUUUAAUUUCAUGCCAGCAGUAUGUAUGUCCAUUUCUCCAGACCAUCUCCAGGUUUUACAUUUUAACCAAUCUGGAGGGGAGAAAAAUAGUAUCUUGUUUUAGUUUGCAUUUUUCUGAAUUACCAGGAUGGCUGAAGUCUGUGUAUUUCCUGUCCAUUUAUAGUUCCUUCUCUGCAUUACUUGUCCAUAUCUUUUACCCUUUUUUUUUUAGGGUAUGUUUUCUUUUCCUUAUUGAUUUUUUUAAGACGCUCUUUAUGUAUUUUGUAUACUUUAUGCAUAUUGCAAAUAUUUUCUGCAUUGUGAUUCUUGUCAUUUAAUUGUAGUAUGUCUUUUGAGAAAUUUAAAAUUUUGAUAUCUAUUUGAAUUUUAUGUCUUUUUGCAAUGUAUUUCAGAAAGCCUUUCCUGCAUCGAGGUCCUAUGCAUUUUUCCUGUAUUUCUUCUCUAACAUUUAUCGUGUGUGUGUGUGUGUGUGUGUUUGAGAGGGAAUCUCACUCUGUCACCAGGCUGGACUACAGUGGCAUGAUCUCGGCUCACUGCAAUGUCUGCCUCCCAGGUUCAAGUGAUUCUCCUGCCUUAGCCUCCCGGGUAGCUGGGACUACAGGGGGUGUGGCACCAUGCCCAGCUAAUUCUUGUAUGUUUAGUAGAGAUGGGGUUUCAGCAUGUUGGCCAAGAUAGUCUCAAUCUCUUGACCUCGUGAUCUCCCCGUCUCAGCCUCCCAAAUUACUGGGAUUACAGGCAUGAGCCACUGAGCCUAGCUAUUUAAGCCUUUUUACCACAUGCAAAAAAUAAAAUUCCAUAUGCAUGCAUGAAUCUUAGGAUCUAACUUUAAUUCCCCCUGAUCCUCCCAACAAUAGAUAAGUAAUUGUCCCAUUACCACUUGUAGAAUUCUAUAUCAUUUUCCCACUAAUUUAAAAUUGCUACCUUUGUCUGAUACUAAAUCCCAGUAGGGCUCUUUCUGGUCCACUGAUCUAUUUGUUUGCUCUUGAGCUUCAUAAUAUGCUUUGCUAACUAGCAGGACAAAUCUCACCCUCUUUGUUGUUUUUGCAAAAUUACCUUGGCCAUUCUUGCAUAUUAGUCCUAUCAUAUGAAUUUUAAAAUAAGCCUUUCAAGUUUUGGGAAAAUUUCUGCUGGGAUUUUAAUGGGGUUACAGGUGAGUUUUAUGGUUUUCUCUGGUUAAAGUCUGGUAUAUUUCUUGUUGAAAGUAUUCCUAGGUAUAUUAUAGGCUUUGCUGUUAACUGUGAAUAGUUUGCCCUCUGCUCCUAUUUGUUUGGCCCUUGCUUUUUCAUAUCCCAUUUCAACAUGUUUACUAAUCACUGUGCUUGAUUCGCAGACACACACACAAAGUAAAUGUUCUCCCUCCCAGGGCACAAACAUUUGAGCACAGCCAAAUGCACAGAGGUGGCGUAAUUGGCUGAAAACAAAUUAGAAUCUUUUCAAAUUAUACUUUAAACAAGUAAAGUGUGCAUACAUUCUCCUUAAAAGUGGAACAAUAUGAAUAUAACUGUAGUCCCCUUUGGCCACCUGAGAUUCUGGCUCCUGCCCCCUCCACAGAGGUAGCUACUGUAAUUAUGUAUUUCCUUCCAUAGUAACAUAUAGUAUUGAUGUAGAUAUUUUGAAUAAAUUAUCCCACAACAUAGAUAUUAUACUCUGUAUCCUCUGUUUUUCACUUAGUUAUAUCUUCGAGCUCCACCUGUGUUGGUUCCUAUAGCAACUCUUGUUUGCCCCCCAAUUCUUCUUUUGUUCUUAAGACAGAGUCUCACUCUGUUGGCCAAGCUGGAGUGCAGUGGCACAAUCUCAGCUCACUGUAACCUCCAGCUCCCGGGUUCAAGUGAUUCUCUUGCCUCAGCCCUUCGAGUAGCUGGCAUUACAGGCGUGUGCCACCAAGCCCAGCUAAUUUUUGUGUUUUUAGUAGAGAUGGGGUUUCAUCAUAUUGACCAGGCUAGUCUGGAACUCCUGACCUCAUGUGAUCCACCCUCAGCCUCCCAAAGGGCUGAGAUUACAGGCAUAAGCCACCACACCCAGCCAUGUUUGCUCCUUUGAGCAGCUGUGUCAUACUCCAUAUGAAUGUUCCAUGUUUCCCCUUCUGUAACAUCCAUAGACCUUUUAUUAUUAUUAUUAUUAUUUUUGAGACAGAGUCUUGCUCUGUCGCCAGGCUGGAGUGCAGUGGCACAAUCUUGGCUCACUGCAGUCUCUGCCUCCCCAGUUUAAGCAAUUCUCCUGUCUCAGCCUCGAGAGUAGCUGGGCUUACAGGCAUGCGCCACCACGCCUGGCUAAUUUUCAUAUUUUUAGUGGAGAUGGGGUUUCACCAUGUUGGCCGGGAUGGUCUCAAAUUCCUGAUCUCGUGAUCCACCUGCCUCGGCCUCCCAAAAUUAUGGGAUUACAGGCAUGAGUCACCGUGCCAGGCCCAUCCAUAGACCUUUAGUUAGUUUUUUUUUCCUGUCUGUUAUGAGGAGUGCUGCAGAGAGCAUCUUGGUACAUGCCUCCUCCUGAAAUGCUUCUCUAGGAUAGGUACUGAGAGUGGAACUCUGAGUCCUAGGAUUGUCUGCUGUUUAAGUUUUAGUAGAUAAAGCCCACCUGUCUUCUGAAGUGGCUGUGCCAGUUUGAACUCCCUCCACAAGUAAAUGUGGAUCCUCAUUUUUCCACAUCACUGCCAGAUUUUCAACUUCACAGAUCUGAGAGGUGAAAAUGUGGUUUCUUCUUAUGUCUUUAAUUUGUAUCUCUUGAAUGACUGGUCACACUAGUGACCAGUUCUCCUCGUGGGCUUACUGAUCAUUUUUCUUUCCUCCUGUUGGGCUUAUCUUUGGAUAUUCUUUGUCCAUCUUUCUGCUGGGUUGUCUUUUUCUUACUGAUUUACGGGAAUUCUUUAUGUUUUCUUGAUAUUAAUUAUUCUAUGCAUUAUACAUAAUUCUCUACCAUUCUGACCCUUAUCUUUUAACUGUAUUGUAUCUUUUAUUACUGAAGUUUUUAUUUUUAUAAAAAUUUAGAAUGUUAUUUCAUCAUAAAAAGUCUCUCUACACACCAAGAUCACAACUAUUUUUUUCUAUAUUUUUCCUAAAACUUUGUUUUCUUUCUUGCAUUUAUAUAUUACAUUAUUUUGUCAUUUUCAUGUUUAAGCCUUUACAGAAUGUGAAAGUUAUUUUUAGUGUGAUAUUGGUGUUUAAUGUUAAUAAAUCUCAAAAUUAAGAACCAACCUUUUCAAUACUGUUUAUUGGAUAAUCUGUGAUUUCCCCCAUGAUUUAAAAUUGCUGCCUUUGAGAGCAAAUCCCAAUGCAAGUCUGUGUUGGCUCUUUCUGGUUUAUUCAUCUAUUGUCUGCUCCUGGGCUUUGCUAACUGGAAAGACAAAUAUCCCUCUCUUCAUUGUUUCUGUAAAAUUGCCUUAGUCUUUCUUGCAUAUUUGUUCCAAUAUAUACAUUUUAUUUUAUUUUUUGAGGCAGGGUACAGGCUAGAGUACAGUGGCACGAUCAUAGACCACUAUACUACAGCCUCAACUUCCCUGGCUCGAGUGAUCCUCCUGCCUCAGCCUCCCAAGUAGCUGUGACUGCAGGUGCAUGCCGUCACACCCAGCUAAUUUUUUGUAUAUAUUUUUAGAGAAGCGGGUCUCACUAUGUUGCCCAGGCCAGUCUUGGACUCCUGAGCUCAAGUGAUCCUCCCACUAUAGCCUCCCAAAGUGCUAGCUGUGCAGGUGUGAGUUGCUGCACCUGGCCCCAUUGUAUGAAUUUUAGAAUCAGCUUGUUAAGUUUCAGAAUUCUUACUGGAAUUUUGUUGGGGUUACUUGAGUUUAUGGAUAAAUUUAAGGAAAACUGACAUCUUUAUAAUAUAGAGUCUUCCUACCAAGGCACAUUGCUCUACUCUCAAUUCAGGUCAUCUUUUAUGUCUUUCAGGAAAGUUUUAUGGUUUUCUCUGGUUAAAGUCUGGUAUAUUUCUUGUUGAAUGUAUUCCUAGGUAUAUUAUAGGCUUUGCUGUUAACUGUGAAUAGUUUGCCCUCUGCUCCUAUUUGUUUGGCCCUUGCUUUUUCAUAUCCCAUUUCAACCUGUUUACUAAUCACUGUGCUUGAUUCGCAGACACACACACAAAGUAAACGUUCUCCCUCCCAGGGCACAAACAUUUGAGCACAGCCAAAUGCACAGAGGUGGUGUAAUUGGCUGAAAACAAAUUAGAAUCUUUUCAAAUUAUACUUUAAACAAGUAAAGUGUGCAUACAUUCUCCUUUUUAAAAGUAGCACAGUAUAAAUAUAACUGUCAUCCCCUUUGGCCGCCCUCUGAAGUCCUUAUUUCCUACCGGCUCCACAGUUUUAUGUGUCUCCCUCCACAGUGACACAUAGUCCUGAUGUGUUUUCAAUGAGUCAUACCACAUUAUAGGGAUUUUACUAUAAGCUGCAGGGUUUUUUCACUCAGUCUUACUUUUUUUUUUUCUGUUGAGACGGAGUUUCGCUCUUAUUACCCAGGCUGGAGUGCAAUGGCGCGAUCUCGGCUAACCACAACCUCCGCCUCCUGGGUUCAGGCAAUUCUCUUGCCUCAGCCUCCUGAGUAGCUGGGAUUACAGGCACACGCCAACAUAUCCAGCUAAUUUUUUGUAUUUUUAGUAGAGACGGGGUUGCACCAUGUUGACCGGGAUGGUCUCGAUCUCUUGACCUCGUGAUCCACCCACCUCGGCCUCCCAAAGUGCUGAGAUUACAGGCUUGAGCCACCAAGCUGGCCCUUACAUUUUUACAAUAUACUCAUAUUGAUACAUAGAGCUUUUGCCUUUAAUAGCUAUAUUGUAUUCAUUCCCAUGAAUGUAACACAUUUUAUCUUCUGUAAGCUUCAUGGACAGUUAAUUGCUUCCCUUUCUCUCCUCCAUCAUGAGCAGUGCUGCAGAAAUCACAUUUCACGUUCCUCUGUGGUGGGAUCUCUCUGGAGUGAUUGAGAAAUGAAAUGUUGGGUCUCAAGAUGUCCACAGUUUUAGUUUUAGCAGAUACUACCAAAGUGCCCUCCAUGAUUUCUAAACCAUUUAAGCUUCCAGUCAGGGGGUCUGAGAGGGCUCUAAUCCCCACAUCCGUAAACAGUUGUUUUAAAUAUUUGCCAAUCUCAUGGGUGAAAAAUUGAAUCCUUUUAAAAAUUUGUAUUUUCCUGUUUGCUUGUGAGAUUUUCAUAUGCAUAUCGGGCAUUUGUAUGUUCUCUUUUCUGAAUUGUCUGUUUAUGUUUUCUCAUUUUAAACAUUAGGUUGUCUUUAUCCCACUGGUUUGUGGAAUAUUCUAAUAUAAUCUGGAUAUUGAUCUUUUGUGGAUAUGUGACACAUAUUUUCUUCCAGCUUGUCAUUGCCUUUAACUCUUUGUACAAUCUUUUGCUAGACAAAAGUUAGUUUGGACAUAAUCCAAUUUAUCAAUCUUUUCUUUUGAUCGUUUUUAUACAGAUACCAUGUUUAGUCCUUCCCUACUCCUAAGAUUUAAAUAUUUCUUCUUUUCUAAUAAUUUUAUAAUUUUGUUUUUAUUUGGUUCUUUGAUGCAUCUGGAAUAUAUUUUGAUGAUCACAUUGAGAAAUGAUCUAACCUUUCUCCAAAUGGGCAGCCAAGUAUCACAAUGAGGAGUUAACUAGUUCUUCCUUUCCCCUCUGAUCUGAGGUAAAACUCCCUCAUAUUCUGAGUCAUGUUGGCUAGGUGGGUCUGAAGCCCCUGUUUUUCCCACUAGUCUGUUUAUUCCUUUCAGUACCAGACUAUUUUAUUUGCCAUCCCACCUUUUGAUACCUGUGAAGUCAAAUGCCAUGUUUCAUUGUGCUUCCUUCUCAGCUGUCUUAGCUAACUAGUACCGCACAUUAACUCCUCCACAUGAAUUUUAAAGCCUGCUUGUCAUGUUGGAGAAAUUGACAUCAAUACAAUACCGAGGCUUUGAAUUCAUGAAUACGGUUGAGCUCCACAUUUAUUCUUAUUUAUCUUGUAUAUCCUUCACUCACACACUAUUGUUCUCCCCAUAAAGAACUUGCCCAUUUCCUAAUGGGUUUAUUCCUGUAGUUUUUAUUAUUGUUGUGAAUGAGUUCUCUCCACCGCCCUUUUUUGUUUUGCUUUUGCUUCCUACAUUUCUUUUUUCAUCUACUUACUAAUCACUCUAUUUUAUUCACAGGCACACACAAAGUAAAUGUUCCUCGUCCCUAGGCACAAACACACAAGCACAGCCAAACACACGGAGCCCACAUAAAUGACUGAAAAUGAAUAGCCAUUAAAAAAAAUUGAAGUCUAAUGACACAAGCGAAACAUGAAUACAUUCCCCUCUUUACAAAAGAGAACGUUGCAGGUGAAGCUAGAGUCCUUUUUGGCCACCCACUGCCACCCUAUUCCCUUCCUCCUCUCCAGCAGUAACCACUGUCAUGGACUCAAUGUGUACUUUUCUAGACCUUUCUAAAAACUUAAAAAUACAUAGAUAGGUACCCAAAGGAAAUAUAUGGUAUAGUUGUCUCAAAUAAUGAAAAUUUUGUUUUUCCUUUCUAGUUUUUAUUAAUAUCAAACUUUUAUAUUGACCUGAAUUUUAUUAUGGUUACAAAAUAGAAUGUCAGCGUUAUCAUCUGUCACAAUGUGAAAGUAAAGAUAUAAAAGUUGGGAGGUAGCAACGGAGGGAGGAGGGUAGGAAGGCUGACAGGGACAAUAGUAGGGAAGCAAGAGCUUCUGUAGACAUGUGGUAGAACAAGGAAUGAAGGGCCAAGUAGGUUUCUUAAAAUUAAGUAGAUAACCAACAGAAGUACUUAAGAGGAGAAGUAAGGAUAGAGGGGAGUAGUUUCCAAGGGACCCAAUGUCUAAUCCACCGAGACAUCAGUGGAUCUUAUGAACUAGAAAUAGGUCAUAGCAGAUGCUGUCUAGAGAACUCCCGUGACCCAAUUUUGACUUGGGACUUGAAAGGGGAUAUCUUCAGGCAGCUUCAGGGAAACACUUUCCUCCCUAAUUAAAGAGAUGCACUUGGGGCCAGGCACAGUGGCUCUCGCCUGUAGCCCCAGGCACUUUGGGAGGCUGAGGUGGCAGAUCGCUUGAGCCCAGGAGUUCGAGACCAGCCUGGGCAACAUUGUGAAACCCCGUCUCUGCAAAAAAUAUAAAAGUUAGCCAGGCGUGGUGGCAUGCACCUGUCGUCCCAGCUGCUCAAGGGGCUGAAGUGAGGAGAUUGCUUUAGCCUGGGAGGUUGAGGCUACAGUGAGUUAUUAUCAUGCCAUUAUACUCCAGCCUGGAUGGCAGAGUGAGACCAUGUCUCAAGAGAGAGAGAGAGAGAGAGAGAGAAAGAGAGAUGUACUUGGAGAGGUUUCUUGGCUGCCCUCUUUCUUUCUGCCUAGGUGCUGUUGAGUGAAAACAUGAUGCUUGGAGCCCUGACAGCUAUCUAUUAUCUUGUGACCAGGAGGGGAAGGCCCGGAGACUUGUGGCUCUCAGCUUACUCAGAUCUCAGCUACCGGGAACCACUGACUUGAACUUUCAUUACUUGAAAUAAAUGUUCUUAUUGUUUA